rnacentral:hammerhead_ribozyme from 1 species
CUUUGGCUGAUGAGUCCCGAAUGGGACGAAAUGCUCAUGCUGAAG